rnacentral:ncRNA from 1 species
AUUGAUAGAGGCGCAAUAAAGAUUAGUAACUAAGUGAAGAGACAUCUGGUGAUCUUAGUGAAAGGUGAUAUUGCCGAAACGACAAACUGGUAAGUUUGUUAGUUGGGAUAUAAGAGAAUAUCUUAUAUACUCCUACAUAA